GUGCAAUCCAACGGGAGAAAAAAGGACUUGGCAGCAGCUCAAAAUGAAGCAUAAAAACAUAAUUCAAAAAGGUAAGGCAUAUUUUGCUAGGCUGUGAUUGCGCCUCACUUUGAUUUUAAUUUAAUUUUUUUAAAUGGACUUAGGCUAUUAGACAGAGUCAAUAUUAAUUUAAACUAAAAUAUUAAUUCAGCGGCUACUUCAAAUAAUUAUUUAAACCCCAAACAAAAUGUAGUUUUUCAACGUCCUCUCACUUAAUUCUACACUUUGUGGAUUAACACUUGAUACAAACACAUUUACACUCAUCGGCCACUUUAUUAGGUACACCUGUCCAACUGCUCGUUAACACUUAAUUUCUAAUCAGCCAAUCACAUGGCGGCAACUUAGUGCAUUUAGGCAUGUAGACAUGGUCAAGACAAUCUCCUGCAGUUCAAACCGAGCAUCAGUAUGGGGAAGAAAGGUGAUUUGAGUGACUUUGAACGUGGCAUGGUUGUUGGUGCCAGAAGGGCUGGUCUGAGUAUUUCAGAAACUGCUGAUCUACUGGGAUUUUCACGCACAACCAUCUCUAGGGUUUACAGAGAAUGGUCCGAAAAAGAAAAAAUAUCCAGUGAGCAGCAGUUCUGUGGGCGGAAAUGCCUUGUUGAUGCCAGAGGUCAGAGGAGAAUGGCCAGACUGGUUCGAGCUGAUAGAAAGGCAACAGUGACUCAAAUAACCACCCGUUACAACCAAGGUAGGCAGAAGAGCAUCUCUGAACGCACAGUACGUCGAACUUUGAGGCAGAUGGGCUACAGCAGCAGAAGACCACGCCGGGUGCCACUCCUUUCAGCUAAGAACAGGAAACUGAGGCUACAAUUUGCACAAGCUCAUCGAAAUUGGACAAUAGAAGAUUGGAAAAACGUUGCCUGGUCUGAUGAGUCUCGAUUUCUGCUGCGACAUUCGGAUGGUAGGGUCAGAAUUUGGCGUCAACAACAUGAAAGCAUGGAUCCAUCCUGCCUUGUAUCAACGGUUCAGGCUGGUGGUGGUGGUGUCAUGGUGUGGGGAAUAUUUUCUUGGCACUCUUUGGGCCCCUUGGUACCAAUUGAGCAUCGUUGCAACGCCACAGCCUACCUGAGUAUUGUUGCUGACCAUGUCCAUCCCUUUAUGACCACAAUGUACCCAACUUCUGAUGGCUACUUUCAGCAGGAUAAUGCGCCAUGUCAUAAAGCUGGAAUCAUCUCAGACUGGUUUCUUGAACAUGACAAUGAGUUCACUGUACUCAAAUGGCCUCCACAGUCACCAGAUCUCAAUCCAAUAGAGCAUCUUUGGGAUGUGGUGGAACGGGAGAUUCGCAUCAUGGAUGUGCAGCCGACAAAUCUGCGGCAACUGUGUGAUGCCAUCAUGUCAAUAUGGACCAAGCUCUCUGAGGAAUGCUUCCAGCACCUUGUUGAAUCUAUGCCACGAAGAAUUGGGGCAGUUCUGAAGGCAAAAGGGGGUCCAACCUGUUACUAGCAUGGUGUACCUAAUAAAGUGGCCGGUGAGUGUAUAUUUUAGACCUAUUGAAGUCAUUUAAAAUGUGAUGCUUUAGCCUACACCAACACUGAUCAAAAUACUAUUUUAAAAUAAACAUUGACUUCUGCUCAGCCAACAGAAAGAAGGCAGAGGCCCGAAAAACAGGUGGAGGGCCACCUCCACCACCUCUGACGGAGGCUGAGGAGCUGGCCCUCAGCCAAAACAGGGGUCGCCCUGUGGCUGAAGGCAUCCCCGGGGGAAGCUCAUCCGAACCUGUCACCCCCCAGGACACAAGUCCCUAC